CCCUUAGAUGUUCUGGGCUGCACGCGCGCUACAAUGACAUACGCAGCAAGUUUCCUUUUUCGAAAGAAUGGGGUAAUCUUGUUAGUGUUUGUCGUAUUUGGGAUAGAAUAUUGUAAUUAUUGCUCUUUAACGAGGAAUUCCUAGUAAGCACAAGUCAACAGCUUGUGCUGAUUACGUCCCUGCCCUUUGUACACACCGCCCGUCGCUCCUACCGAUCGAAGAGUUAGGUGAAUUGUUUUGAUCGAUAAGAUUUGACUAUGGUCAACUCUCGUUGUGAAAUUCUGUGAAUCUGACUGUUUAGAGGAAGGAAAAGUCGUAACA
rnacentral:rRNA from 1 species